rnacentral:rRNA from 1 species
UACGUAGGGUGCAAGCGUUGUCCGGAAUUAUUGGGCGUAAAGGGCUCGUAGGCGGUCUGUCACGUCGGGAGUGAAAACACGGGGCUUAACCCCGUGCCUGCUUCCGAUACGGGCAGACUAGAGGUAUGCAGGGGAGAACGGAAUUCCUGGUGUAGCGGUGGAAUGCGCAGAUAUCAGGAGGAACACCGGUGGCGAAGGCGGGUCUCUGGGCAGUAACUGACGCUGAGGAGCGAAAGCGUGGGGAGCGAACAGG